CAGCACCCUCCUCAAGUUAGACUCCCUGCGAUUGCCUCCUGAGUCCCACAUGAUACCCAGCCACCCCCCUCCCGCAUGUUCCCCGCUCCCCUUCCCGCGAUUGUAUCCUACAUGUUGUUACCCUUCUGCAUGUUGCACCCCCAUGGCGCGAUUGCCUCUCGCAUGUUACCGGCCCUCCUGCCUCCAGCGACUAGAUCCUCCCGCAUGUUAACAGCCCCCUACCCGCAACUGUCUCCUGCGACUACCUCCGGCAUGUUACCCCCCCCCCCACGAGUGCAUCCCUGAUGCCAGUCUGCUGAUGGAUCAGGCACCUGUGGGGACAUAUAAGAAAGAAAGCGGCACUGCUCCGUUGUGUCAGCACCUUAGAGAAGGCAAACAUGAGUUCAUCUCACUUAAAUUAUCCUGAUGUAUUUUGUUACAUUUAUGGCGAAUACACAUUGCUCAAGCAAAGAAAAGACAUCUCUGAAUUUGUGAAGCAAGCCUAUGUUGCAUAUUUUGGUAUAAAGCUUGGUGAUCAAGAUAAGCCCUGGGCUCCCCACAAAGUCUGUAAAACUUGCAUAGCCAAUCUUCGCCAGUGGACAUAUGGAAACAAAAAAAGUUUGAACUUCGGUGUGCCUAUGGUGUGGAGGAAACCCAAAAACCACUCUGAUGACUGAUAUUUUUGUGCUGUCAAUGUUAAAGGUUUCAAUAAACACAAGAAACAGAAAUGGGAAUACCCUGAUUUAAAAGUAGCGGUUUUUAAAGCAAUAAAUGUCAAAAGUUUACCAUGUUUAUAUGUUGUUUCAUUAAAUAAAUAUAAAUUUUGAGUGUC